UCCUUUCGAAAAUCUGAAUUUUUUUUUCCGACAAGAACAACCCUUUCCCCUUGCAAAUCUAAUUUUUGUUUCGAAAAUCUUAUUUUGUUUGAAAAUCUUUUUUUUCUGAUUUAUGUUAUUUUUCCUAAUUUAUGCUAUUUUUUCGAAUUUAUGUUAUUUUUCCGAAGAACGAAGAACAAAUCGAACGUGGGUACAACGUGACGGUGAAGACGACGCACCAAGUUAUGGAGACCGAUCGACAAGAAGAAAGUGUUAUGCCACCACCGACCGUCCAACAACCAAGUAUGCUAUGUAAAUCAUCUACGAAUUCUUCAUAAGCACUUUACACUCCCCAAGUUAAGAAUGACCUCAUACCCAAAAUUAAUCAAGAGUUUGAUAGUUUACAGAAAGUUAAAGAAUUUUACAACCGUUAUGCUAAAGAAGGUGGAUUUGGUACUCGAUCACAUUCUAGCAGAAAGAGUACAGCCGAGGUAAAUGUAAUCGUUAGGAAGGAGUUUUGUUGUUUCAAACAAGGGUUGACGGUCCAAAAAAGUACUCAACCAAACAAACGGCGUCAGGGGAUAACUAGAGAGAAUUGUCGUGCAAGAUUGGCUGUUGUGAGGAAGGGUGAAAAGUAUGUUGUUUCCCAAUUUUUCGAGGGGUCAUAAUCACCCACUUACAUCUCCGAGGAGGACGCAUAUGCUUCAAUUCCAUCGUAACGUGUCAACUGCCAAAAAAGCUUUAGUAGAACAAUUGUCAGCAACAAAUGUGCCAACUUGUCAACAAAUGACUAUAUUUGAGUUGGAAUCGAGAGGUCUUGAAAAUGUUGGCUGCUCACAACAAGAUUUGUAUAAUUAUAAAAGGGAUAAGAAGAUGAUGGUAGACGGACAUGACGCCAAUAUGCUGUACGAGUAUUUUCAAUCUGAAAAAGUAAAGAACGACGGUUUUACUUUUACAAUCGAGAAAGAUGAUGAGGAUAGGAUGACACAUUGUUUUUGGGCAGCUGCAACCUCUAGAAAGUCGUACUAGUAUUUUGGGGACAUGGUAGUGUUUGACACUACGUAUAAUACAAACCGUUAUUCUAUGAUUUUUGCACCUAGUUUAGGGGUUAAUCACCAUAGACAGA